rnacentral:pre_miRNA from 1 species
UGUGUACUCCCUCCGUUCCAAAAUACUUGACUUCCAUUUGUCCAAAAAUGGAUGUACCUAUAUACUAAAACAUGUCUAGAUACAUAUAUAUUUUGACAAAUAUAAGGCAUGUAUUGUGCAAUGGAGGGAGUAGAAU